CAGUGGCCUCUGGCUAUCAUUGAUACGCACGAGGAAAAGGUAUUAUGUGCCAACCGGUGGAAGAGUGACAGUGUGGUCAGUGGAGGGGUGGAUGCACAGCUCUGUAUUUCUUCAGACAUCUUUAUCCAGUGAGAAUAAACAACAUGACAAACUCGAGUCAAGCUCGAUGUAAUGAGCAUGCUUCUUCUUUCCUUCCUUCCAAAAGAGGAUGGAUGAUUGAUUCUGCACCUUUUUCUCAGCUAUGUUCUUUGACAUGAUGCUGAGAAUGGAGCUGGACGAUUCCAUGGCAAGGGAGAUGUUAUACCAUUAAAGGAUCGGUCUCGUCUGCAACCAAUUUUUUCUGGGAACUUUAUGAUAUGUAAAAAAAAACACAUACGGCUCAGCAUUUCCUUCAAAUGUUAAAAGAUUAUGUUCUACUUGUUCAAUUGUCAUUAAUUUGC